GCCGCAGUGAAAAGGCCCAAGCGACUGUUUAGCAAAAACACAGCUCUCUGCUAAAUCGAAAGAUGACGUAUAGGGGGUGACGCCUGCCCGGUGCUGGAAGGUUAAGGGGAGUGCUUAGCGCAAGCGAAGGUGCGAACUUAAGCCCCAGUAAACGGCGGCCGUAACUAUAACGGUCCUAAGGUAGCGAAAUUCCUUGUCAGGUAAGUUCUGACCCGCACGAAUGGCGUAACGAUUUGGGCACUGUCUCAACAGCCCGCCCGGCGAAAUUGUAGUACCGGUGAAGAUGCCGGUUUCCCGCAACUAGACGGAAAGACCCCAUGGAGCUUCACUGUAGCUUGAUAUUGGAUCUCGGUAUUCCAUGUACAGGAUAGGUGGGAGACUUGGAAGUAAGCGCGCCAGCGUUUAUGGAGUCAACCUUGGGAUACCACUCUUGGGAUAUUGGGAUUCUAACCUGCGACCAUGAAUCUGGUCGGGGGACACUGUCAGGUGGGCAGUUUGACUGGGGCGGUCGCCUCCAAAAGAGUAACGGAGGCGCUUAAAGGUUCGUUCAGCACGGAUGGAAAUCGUGCACUGAGUGUAAACGCAUAAACGAGCCUAACUGCGAGAAUGACGGUUCGAGCAGUAACGAAAGUUGGAGUUAGUGAUCCGGCGGUAUGUGAAUGGAAAUGCCGUCGCUCAACGGAUAAAAGCUACCCUGGGGAUAACAGGCUGAUCUCCCCCAAGAGUCCACAUCGACGGGGAGGUUUGGCACCUCGAUGUCGGCUCAUCGCAUCCUGGGGCUGAAUUCGGUCCCAAGGGUUUGGCUGUUCGCCAAUUAAAGCGGUACGCGAGCUGGGUUCAGAACGUCGUGAGACAGUUCGGUCCCUAUCUGUUGCGGGCGCAGGAAUAUUGAGAGGAGCUGUCCUUAGUACGAGAGGACCGGGAUGGACGUACCGCUGGUGCACCAGUUGUUCUGCCAAGGGCAUAGCUGGGUAGCUAAGUACGGACGAGAUAAACGCUGAAGGCAUCUAAGCGUGAAACUCCCCUCGAGAUAAGUGUUCCCAUCCUUCGGGAGUAAGGCCCCUUGUAGACUACAAGGUUGAUAGGUCAGGAGUGGAAGUGCAGUAAUGUAUGGAGCGGACUGAUACUAAUAGGCCGAGGGCUUGACCUU
rnacentral:rRNA from 1 species